rnacentral:misc_RNA from 1 species
AAUUUAAUUUUAAACUAAUUUUUAUUAUUUUAAAAUAAUAUAUUUUAAUUGUAGCUUAAAUAUACCCUCAAUUAGUUACAGAAAAUGGGAAUUUGUCUGAUCUAGUUUUAUUGAAACUAAGUUUUUCUGCAGGGAAUUUUUGAAAUUCCUGCUAUAUAGUUUAGGAAGAAAAUAAUACAAUCUUGAAUUUCAACAUUGACUGGCAGUUUACUGUUUUUCAGACCCCUUGUCACUGGUUAGGGAU